UACGUAGGGUGCAAGCAUUAUCCGGAGUGACUGGGCGUAAAGAGUUGCGUAGGUGGUUUGUUAAGUGAAUGGUGAAAUCUAACGGCUCAACCGUUCAGACUAUUAUUCAAACUGGCAAACUCGAGAGUGGUAGAGGUAACUGGAAUUUCUAGUGUAGGAGUGAAAUCCGUAGAUAUUAGAAGGAACACCAAUGGCGUAGGCAGGUUACUGGACCAUUUCUGACACUGAGGCACGAAAGCGUGGGGAGCGAACCGG
rnacentral:rRNA from 1 species